rnacentral:misc_RNA from 1 species
GUGAACUCUUAUUAUACAUUGUGACAGAUCAACAGUAAACUUUGAGGAACCAAAUCAAUCUAGCCAAGGAAUUCACAGAGUUAAUGACUGUUUGUAUAUAUCAAUUAAUUUUUGGACUAAGGUAAAACUUUGGAUCUCUGAAAAACCUAGUAAUAAUGUCUGCCUUGUCAGCUGAAAGAUCUGUGUUCUCCAGGAUAUACUCUUUUGAUGCCUUAGCAAUUGCUUCAAUGGAACCAAUAGCUUGAUUGAGCUGAAAU